AGUGAAGCCAGCGUGUUCCCUGCUGGAGGAAGGACCAGCAUGGACUGUGCUGCCCUGGGACCCUGCCUCAGUGCCCAAGCCUGCAGGACAACAACAAUUCAACAACAAUUGCAUAGAAAAGUAAGGCAUUGAGAAAAUGAAAACUGAUCCUUUAUAAAUACAAACCUUAAUCCAAAAGUUGUUGCAUAUUUGGUCAGACAAAAAGCACAGUCACUUUUGUUGUAAAGAUACGGAUUACAAAAUGCACUUUAAAAAACAUGCUAGCUACUUUGAGGACUGGUCUAGAUAUGUAAUGAAGCAGCAGCUUUUUAUACACUGGAGAAUAACAUAGUGCUGGUUCUGGAAAUCCUCUACAUUCAGGAAACGCUGUAUUCCUAUGGGGAGAAUGGGGAAUACAUAUUUACAUGGAUACAAAUAAAGCAAGUGCAAAACCCAUGACUCUCCUACAUUCUUUCUCCCAGUAAAAACAACAUACAUGAGACACUUUCACUCCUCUGCUGUUGCUCAGAUCUCAUUUUUUGCUCAUUCUCAUGGAGAAAAACAAAACCAGGACUUUGUAUUUCAUUGCAAGUAUCUUCACAAGCAAUUCCUCUCCUGGCAAACUCGACUUCCAACACUCAUAACUGACAAAAAAAAAUCUUCCUGAUAUCUGCCCACUCCCACUGCACUCUCAGACUGUUUACAUAUCAUGAAUGAUGAUUUUUAUUCUACGUAUAUUUGAUGCAGAGUUUAUAGAAGCUCAUCCUGUAUUCGCAGCCAAAGCUCGGAUGGAAAAAUGGAAGUUAAAAAAAAAAUACACACACACACACACACACACACACACACACAAAAGACAAAUAAAAAGAGAUGAACCUUUGAGUUCCAACAUGAACUUCACAUGGUGCAACUUUGAUGGAAAAUGCAUUAGAGUUGUUCACCCCGCAGACAAGAUAUUUGUAGGCCUUUGGUACAAUGGCAGGAAGGCACUGUGGUGAAACAUUCAGAUAACUGAGGAAAGAGAGAAUUUCCUCAUGUGCAAAUAUGGCUAUCUUCCAGAUAAAGUGAGAACAAAUUGCUCACAAAAUGCUAUUAACUCUUCCAAGGCUAAGCUCGUGCUUCUACAGAGAGAAAUUGUACUAAGGAACAGAAAUACUAAUACUGGAAAAACUCUGCUCAGCAAGGACAGGAAAUAAUUUAGUGCUGUAUAUAUUGAAAUUCUUCAGCCUAGCUAUAUAUUUUAACAUAUCAGUUUCCUUUUUAAAGAGACAACAAUGCACAACACUACAUCUGAGGAUGCUCCUUUUCUCCGGAAAUAAAUACAAAGGUGGUUGAAGCUGAAUUAUUUAACUACUGUUGCACGGAAAAGCAGGUGGGGCAGCAGAGCCUGAGCUCGUGCAGCUGUGGCUGAACCCCUAAAAUUCAGAAUACACGGGGUGAAGGCUCCAAGCUGAGCUGCUGGGAGGCAGCACAGGAGGGACCCAGCUCUGCACGGGCGUUCCUUUCUAACCAUGGAUGAAAUAAAAAAUGCACCCACAGAGAGCAGGGCAUGGCCUGGGCUGGCAGGGACCUCAGGCACACCCAGUGCCACCGUGCCAUGGCAGGGACUGUCCCACUGUCCCAGGAUGUUCCAAUGUCCAGCCUGGCCUUGGGCACUGCAGGGAUCCUGGGCAGCCACAGCUGCUCUGGCAAUUCCAGCCCAGCCCCUCCCCGUGCUCCCAGGGAGGAUUUUUAUCCUAAUUUCUGAUUUAAAGCUGUUUGAAGCCAUUCCCCCCUUGUCCUGUCACUGCCAGCCCGUGUAAACAGCCCCUCUCUGCGUGGGUGUAUUACAUAAAUGACAUUGUGCUCUGUAUAUGUACACAGAUUAAUACCUAUGCAUUAAAGAGGAGGAGGGAAUACAGCCAGUGCAAGCAUGGCUAGAGCACCUGUAGCACAUUAAAAACCCCUUCCCCAAAAAACCCC